AAUGGGAGAAUUUAUAGAUAGAAUAGGUAUGGUCCUUUCAGGAACAGUGGGAGAUAUAGGUUCUGAGAAAGUAGGAACAGGGAGAAUUUCUGUGAUUCCAAUGGGUUCCCCUAGGAAAUUAGACUCAACGGAGGUGGACGAGAAAAAAGGUGUUGUUUCAAAAAAGGUAACAUCGGAAGAGGUAUAAAACCGGUGUGUUCUAGGACAGUAACACUUAAAGCCUUUUUGGAGGCGAGAAUACCCAAGGAAAACACAUUUUAUUGCCUUGGCAUCAAGUUUAUCACGCCCUGGAGAAGUAUUAUGAACAAAGCAAGUACAUCCAAAGAUUCGCAAUGGAAGCUUAUGGAGAGGUUCCUGUGGACGUAAGAUAUGAAGAGGAAUUUUUCCUUGCAAAACAGAGGAAGGCAUCCGAUUUAUGAGAUAGCAAGAGUGAAGUAUAGCAUGCCCCCAAAAAUUCUUAGGUACCUUGUUAUGAAUAAGCAAAGUACGAGCUGUUUCAACAAGAUGACGAAUUUUUCGUUCAGCA